rnacentral:rRNA from 1 species
UGGGCAGUUUGACUGGGGCGGUCGCCUCCCAAAAGGUAACGGAGGCGCUCAAAGGUUCUCUCAGUACGGUCGGAAAUCGUACGUAGAGUGUAAAGGCAAAAGAGAGCGUGAUUGCAAGACAUACAGGGCGAGCAAGGAUGAAAAUCGGACUUAGUGAUCCGGUGGUUCUGCGUGGAAGGGCCAUCGCUCAACGGAUAAAAGCUACCCUGGGGAUAA